rnacentral:ncRNA from 2 species
CCUGCUGACGCGGGGUGCCCGGGCUUCCGGGCUGAGAACACACCCGUUGAACCUGACCUAGCUCGCACUAGCGGAGGGACGUCAAUGAUUCCCAAC